UACAGAGGGGGCAAGCGUUGUUCGGAAUUACUGGGCGUAAAGGGCGCGUAGGCGGCCUUCUAAGUCGAACGUGAAAUCCCCGGGCUCAACCCGGGAACUGCGUCCGAUACUGGAAGGCUUGAAUCCGGGAGAGGGAUGCGGAAUUCCAGGUGUAGCGGUGAAAUGCGUAGAUAUUACGAAGAACACCAAUGGCGAAGGCAGCUUGCUGGGCCGCCCCUGAUGCUGAGGCACGAAAGCGUGGGGAGCGAACAGG
rnacentral:rRNA from 1 species